rnacentral:rRNA from 1 species
UACGUAGGUGGCAAGCGUUGUCCGGAUUUACUGGGCGUAAAGAGCGCGCAGGCGGUCAGAUAAGUCGAAUGUGAAAGCCCCCGGCUCAACUGGGGAGGGUCAUUCGAUACUGUUCGACUCGAAGGCAGGAGAGGGAAGCGGAAUUCCCGGUGUAGUGGUGAAAUGCGUAGAUAUCGGGAAGAACACCCGUGGCGAAGGCGGUUCUCUGGGACGGUACUGACGCUGAGACGCGAAAGCGUGGGGAGCGAACAGG